UUCUCCAGGAAGCACUGUCCGGUGCUGGUGCUGGUGCACUUGGAUCCCUCGACUUCCUUAGAAACAAUCAUUAGUUCCAAACGUUGCGCUCAAUGUUACAAGCCAACCCACAAAUUUUACAGCCCAUGCUGCAGGAACUUGGAAAGCAAAACCCACAGCUUUUAAGAUUAAUUCAGGAGCACCAUACCGAGUUCCUUCAGUUAAUAAAUGAACCUCUUGAGGGUUCUGAAGGGACCAAAAGGGAUCCAGGGAGUAGGGGUAGAAGCUUGGUAUUUUCAUAUGUGGAAUGAGGGGGAUAAGUUUGUCGUCAAUACAUAUAUCUAGGAGCUAUUAGAAUUAUUUUUUUGUCUUAAUGUAUGGAUGAUUGGGAAAUACAUCCUUUGUAGA